rnacentral:rRNA from 1 species
CUUGAACUUUAUAAGAGGUCCAGCCUGCCCAGUGACUCUGUUCAACGGCCGCGGUACCCUAACCGUGCGAAGGUAGCGUAAUCACUUGUUCUUUAAAUGUGGACUAGUAUGAAUGGCACUACGAGGGUUAUACUGUCUCCUUUUUCUAAUCAGUGAAACUAAUUUUCCCGUGAAGAAGCGGGAAUAUAAAUAUAAGACGAGAAGACCCUAUGGAGCUUUAAACAACCUAGCAAUUACUUCUAAAAUUAUAAAUUUCAGAAUACUCAUUUUUUAAGCAAUAUGUCUGCAAGUUUUUGGUUGGGGUGACCAUGGAGAAUAACACAACCUCCAUAUUGAAUGAAUUUUUAUUCUAAGCUAAAAAUUAUUAAUUGAAGCAUCAACACACUGACAUCUAUUGACCCAAUAUAUUUGAUCAACGAACCAAGUUACCCUAGGGAUAACAGCGCAAUCCACUUCAAGAGCCCCUAUCGACAAGUGGGUUUACGACCUCGAUGUUGGAUCAGGGUAUCCCAGUGGCGCAGCC